AUUGAACGCUGGCGGCAGGCUUAACACAUGCAAGUCGAGCGGGGGAAGGUAGCUUGCUACCGGACCUAGCGGCGGACGGGUGAGUAAUGCUUAGGAAUCUGCCUAUUAGUGGGGGACAACAUCUCGAACGGGAUGCUAAUACCGCAUACGUCCUACGGGAGAAAGCAGGGGAUCUUCGGACCUUGCGCUAAUAGAUGAGUCUAAGUCGGAUUAGCUAGUUGGUGGGGUAAAGGCCUACCAAGGCGACGAUCUGUAGCGGGUCUGAGAGGAUGAUCCGCCACACUGGGACUGAGACACGGCCCAGACUCCUACGGGAGGCAGCAGUGGGGAAUAUUGGACAAUGGGGGGAACCCUGAUCCAGCCAUGCCGCGUGUGUGAAGAAGGCCUUAUGGUUGUAAAGCACUUUAAGCGAGGAGGAGGCUACUUUAGUUAAUACCUAGAGAUAGUGGACGUUACUCGCAGAAUAAACACCGGCUAACUCUGUGCCAGCCGCCGCUGUAA
rnacentral:rRNA from 1 species